rnacentral:tRNA from 1 species
CCCUGGCGGUCAAAUGGUAAAGAAUCUGCCUGCAGUGCAGGAGACCCAGGUUCAAUCCCUGGGUCGGGAA